rnacentral:ncRNA from 2 species
ACAAUCGAAGAGGCAUCCGGUGCUGCUGCCGCUGUGAAAAAGUUCAUGAGAACAGGCGGACAGCAGGUAAAAGGGAAACAGGUGGAAGACCUGUACGAUCUCGUCACUGUGAGCAGGGAAUACAAGACCAUGCGCGAAUGCGCGGUCACUGAGGAAGAAGGACAGUUGGAUAAACUGUCGUGAAAGCUUUGGGAAGGCGGUUUUGUGUGAUGAUCUGUAAGUCAGGAAACCUGCCGGACUGCUGGUACAGGA